rnacentral:lncRNA from 1 species
CGUAAGCACUCAAACUAUCCGAAAACACGAUACUGUUUUAAAUACUCCAAUUAUGGAAAUCAGAGUGGGCGACAUGAGUAUGGAGCUGGUUUCGUCAUAAAAGCGCAGCUUAUAAACAGUGUUCUGCGCUUUGAACC